GACGAACGCUGGCGGCGUGCUUAACACAUGCAAGUCGAACGGAAAGGCCCUGCUUUUGUGGGGUGCUCGAGUGGCGAACGGGUGAGUAACACGUGAGUAACCUGCCCUUGACUUUGGGAUAACUUCAGGAAACUGGGGCUAAUACCGGAUAGGAGCUCCUGCUGCAUGGUGGGGGUUGGAAAGUUUCGGCGGUUGGGGAUGGACUCGCGGCUUAUCAGCUUGUUGGUGGGGUAGUGGCUUACCAAGGCUUUGACGGGUAGCCGGCCUGAGAGGGUGACCGGCCACAUUGGGACUGGGAUACGGCCCAGACGCAUACGGGAGGAAGCAGUGGGGAAUAGUGCACAAUGGGCGGAAGCCUGAUGCAGCAACGCCGGGUGCGGGAUGACGGCCUUCGGGUGGUAAACCGCUUUAGCCUGUGACGAAGCGUGAGUGACGGUAAUGGGGAAAGAAGCACCGGCUAACUACGG
rnacentral:rRNA from 1 species